rnacentral:rRNA from 1 species
GACGAACGCUGGCGGCGUGCUUAACACAUGCAAGUCGAACGGAAAGGCCCUGCUUUUGUGGGGUGCCCGAGUGGCGAACGGGUGAGUAACACGUGAGUAACCUGCCCUUGACUUUGGGAUAACUUCAGGAAACUGGGGCUAAUACCGGAUAGGAGCUCCUGCUGCAUGGUGGGGGUUGGAAAGUUUCGGCGGUUGGGGAUGGACUCGCGGCUUAUCAGCUUGUUGGUGGGGUAGUGGCUUACCAAGGCUUUGACGGGUAGCCGACCUGAGAGGGUGACCGGCCACAUUGGGACUGAGAUACGGCCCAGACUCCUACGGGAGGCAGCAGUGGGGAAUAUUGCACAAUGGGCGGAAGCCUGAUGCAGCAACGCCGCGUGCGGGAUGACGGCCUUCGGGUUGUAAACCGCUUUCGCCUGUGACGAAGCGUGAGUGACGGUAAUGGGUAAAGAAGCACCGGCUAACUACGUG